CAGCCGUAAACAAUGUGCGUUAGGUGUGUCGGUAACCACGCGUUACUGAUGCGCCGAAGAGAAAUCGUGAAACGCACCACCUGGGAAGUACGGUCGCAAGGCUGAAACUUAAAGGAAUUGGCGGGGGAGCACCACAACAGGUGGAGCCUGCGGUUUAAUUGGAUUCAACGCCGGACAUCUCACCGGAUAAGACAGCUGAAUGAUUGUCAAUCUGAAGGUUUUACAUGACUAGCUGAGAGGUGGUGCAUGGC
rnacentral:rRNA from 1 species